ACCACGGUAGCCCAGUUAGUAGUGGCGUCGGCAGUACAGCCGAAGGUCGCAGGUUCAAAUCCUACCUGGGGUG